rnacentral:rRNA from 1 species
GACGAACGCUGGCGGCGUGGAUUAGGCAUGCAAGUCGAACGGUAGGAUACCUUCGGGUAUCUGAGAGUGGCGAACGGGUGAGUAACACGUAGGUGAUCUACCCUCAAGAUUGGGACAACCCAGGGAAACUUGGGCUAAUACCGGAUGAAAGCAGCAGUGAUGUUGUUUGAAAGGUGGCGUAAGCUGCCGUUUGGGGAUGAGCCUGCGCUCUAUUAGUUAGUUGGCGGGGUAAAGGCCCACCAAGGCGAUGAUAGAUAGGCGGCCUUAACGGGUGGUCGCCCACACUGGGAUUGAGAUACGGCCCAGACUCCUACGGGAGGCAGCAGUCGAGAAUAGUCUACAAUGGCCGAAAGGCUGAUAGUGCGACGCCGCGUGAACGAAGAAGCCCUUCGGGGUGUAAAGUUCUUUUAUAUGUGAGCAGUGCUUUCUAUGUGAACAGCAUGGGGAGAGAGAUAUUAGCAUAUGAAUAAGCAACGGCUAACUCCGUGCCAGCAGCCGG